GGUCUUGUGGUCUAGUGGUAUGAUUCUCGCUUAGGGUUCACCCUGAGUUGUUUGCGAGAGGCCCCGCGUUCGAGUCGCGGCAAGACCC
rnacentral:tRNA from 1 species